CUUUAAGUAUCCUGAAGGGUUGUUCGAGACUAGAACGUUGAUAGGCAGGGUGUGUAAGCGCUGUGAGGCGUUGAGCUAACCUGUACUAAUUGCCCGUGAGGCUUAACCAUACAACACCCAAAGGGUUUUG
rnacentral:rRNA from 1 species